GACGAACGCUGGCGGCGUGCUUAACACAUGCAAGUCGAGCGGUAAGGCCCUUUCGGGGGUACACGAGCGGCGAACGGGUGAGUAACACGUGGGUGACCUGCCCUCAGCUCUGGGAUAAGCCCGGGAAACUGGGUCUAAUACCGGAUAUGACUUCAUGACGCAUGUUGUGGAGUGGAAAGCCUUGUGCGGCUGAGGAUGGGCCCGCGGCCUAUCAGCUUGUUGGUGGGGUGANGGCCUACCAAGGCGACGACGGGUAGCCGGCCUGAGAGGGCGACCGGCCACACUGGGACUGAGAUACGGCCCAGACUCCUACGGGAGGCAGCAGU
rnacentral:rRNA from 1 species